rnacentral:rRNA from 1 species
UACGUAGGGUGCAAGCGUUAAUCGGAAUUACUGGGCGUAAAGCGUGCGCAGGCGGUUUUGUAAGUCAGAUGUGAAAUCCCCGGGCUCAACCUGGGAACUGCAUUUGUGACUGCAUUGCUGGAGUGCGGCAGAGGGGGAUGGAAUUCCGCGUGUAGCAGUGAAAUGCGUAGAUAUGCGGAGGAACACCGAUGGCGAAGGCAAUCCCCUGGGCCUGCACUGACGCUCAUGCACGAAAGCGUGGGGAGCAAACAGG